rnacentral:rRNA from 1 species
UCGUACGCUUCUUUUUCCACCGGAGCUUGCUCCACCGGAAAAGAAGAGUGGCGAACGGGUGAGUAACACGUGGGUAACCUGCCCAUCAGAAGGGGAUAACACUUGGAAACAGGUGCUAAUACCGUAUAACAAUCGAAACCGCAGGGUUUUGAUUUGAAAGGCGCUUUCGGGUGUCGCUGAUGGAUGGACCCGCGGUGCAUUAGCUAGUUGGUGAGGUAACGGCUCACCAAGGCCACGAUGCAUAGCCGACCUGAGAGGGUGAUCGGCCACAUUGGGACUGAGACACGGCCCAAACUCCUACGGGAGGCAGCAGUAGGGAAUCUUCGGCAAUGGACGAAAGUCUGACCGAGCAACGCCGCGUGAGUGAAGAAGGUUUUCGGAUCGUAAAACUCUGUUGUUAGAGAAGAACAAGGAUGAGAGUAACUGUUCAUCCCUUGACGGUAUCUAACCAGAAAGCCACGGCUAACUACGUGCCAGCAGCCGCGGUAAUACGUAGGUGGCAAGCGUUGUCCGGAUUUAUUGGGCGUAAAGCGAGCGCAGGCGGUUUCUUAAGUCUGAUGUGAAAGCCCCCGGCUCAACCGGGGAGGGUCAUUGGAAACUGGGAGACUUGAGUGCAGAAGAGGAGAGUGGAAUUCCAUGUGUAGCGGUGAAAUGCGUAGAUAUAUGGAGGAACACCAGUGGCGAAGGCGGCUCUCUGGUCUGUAACUGACGCUGAGGCUCGAAAGCGUGGGGGAGCAAACAGGAUUAGAUACCCUGGUAGUCCACGCCGUAACGAUGAGUGCUAAGUGUUGGAGGGUUUCCGCCCUUCAGUGCUGCAG